CCUACGGGGGGCUGCAGUGGGGAAUAUUGGACAAUGGGCGAAAGCCUGAUCCAGCCAUGCCGCGUGUGUGAAGAAGGCCUUCGGGUUGUAAAGCACUUUCAGUGGGGAAGAAAGCCUUGGGGCUAAUACCCUCGAGGAAGGACAUCACCCACAGAAGAAGCACCGGCAACUCCGUGCCAGCAGCCGCGGUAAUACGGAGGGUGCGAGCGUUAAUCGGAAUUACUGGGCGUAAAGCGCGCGUAGGCGGUCUGAUAAGCCGGUUGUGAAAGCCCCGGGCUCAACCUGGGAACGGCAUCCGGAACUGUCAGGCUAGAGUGCAGGAGAGGAAGGUAGAAUUCCCGGUGUAGCGGUGAAAUGCGUAGAGAUCGGGAGGAAUACCAGUGGCGAAGGCGGCCUUCUGGACUGACACUGACGCUGAGGUGCGAAAGCGUGGGUAGCAAACAGGAUUAGAUACCCGAGUAGUC
rnacentral:rRNA from 1 species